AUUGAACGCUGGCGGCAUGCCUUACACAUGCAAGUCGAAGGUAACAGGGAGCUUGCUCCGCUGACGAGUGGCGAACGGGUGAGUAAUGUAUCGGAACGUACCAUAGAGUGGGGGAUAACUAUCCGAAAGGAUAGCUAAUACCGCAUAUUCUCUCCGGAGGAAAGCAGGGGGACCGCAAGGCCUUGCGCUCUUUGAGCGGCCGAUAUCAGAUUAGCUAGUUGGUGAGGUAAAGGCUCACCAAGGCGACGAUCUGUAGCGGGUCUGAGAGGAUGAUCCGCCACACUGGGACUGAGACACGGCCCAGACUCCUACGGGAGGCAGCAGUGGGGAAUUUUGGACAAUGGGAGAAACCCUGAUCCAGCCAUGCCGCGUGCAGGAUGAAGGCCUUCGGGUUGUAAACUGCUUUUGUACGGAACGAAAAAGGUCCUUUCUAAUAAAGAGGGCUCAUGACGGUACCGUAAGAAUAAGCACCGGCUAACUACGUG
rnacentral:rRNA from 1 species